UACGAAGGGUGCAAGCGUUGUUCGGAAUUAUUGGGCGUAAAGCGCACGCAGGUGGCUGAGUCAGUCGAUUGUGAAAGCCCUGGGCUUAACCUGGGAAUUGCAGUCGAUACUACUCAGCUAGAGUAUGGGAGAGGACAGUGGAAUUCCCGGUGUAGCGGUGAAAUGCGUAGAUAUCGGGAGGAACAUCAGUGGCGAAGGCGGCUGUCUGGCCCAAUACUGACACUCAGGUGCGGCAGCGUGGGGAGCAAACAGG
rnacentral:rRNA from 1 species